rnacentral:rRNA from 1 species
GUUUGGAGACGGUUCGUAGAUACAAAGGUCGGUGAAUUCAAAAAAGAGCUAGAAUUCAAAAGGGCAAAGGCUAAGAAUGGUGAGGAUAUUCAGCCAGCGGGGACCAAUCUAUGUGCAUACUAUGUCUGUGAGAUGAUCCGGAGAUACACCUCUGAGCGGGUUCCGAGUGAUACCAAUGCUCAGAGGAAUAACCUCCGGAUGAUGCUUAGUCCAGAAGCUCGCUUCCGACCACUUCAAGAGGAACUAGCUGGAUGGUUCAGGAGGGAAGUCCUCCAUCCUAAAGGAGAACACCAUUACGAGGACGUAGAUGCAUUAAAU